rnacentral:lncRNA from 1 species
AAAUGUGGACACUGAAAGGGGGUUUUCUGUCAGGCUUGAACCCACCAUGCCCGGGGCAGCAGGGUUCAACCCGGCUUGAGCACUGAUUUUCUAAGACAUACAGAGGCCCCCUCCUCUUUUCCUUCAGUGGCUCACCCUCAACCCUCUGUACCUCCAGCGCUCCCAGACUCCAUCCCGGCCCUAUUCUGAGCUUGCUUCCUGGCCCUGGGGUUGAAGAGAGGACCGAUUUGGCCUGAGAAACACACCACCUGCAGUCACUGGAACAGGGUCGUGCAGGUACAGGCUGGUACUGUGACACACCCAGGCGGAGCCACAUGUUCCUGGCCACUGGCACAGAGUGCAAGAGUGGCCCUGCCACUGUAGGCCUGUGGAGAGCUUGCCUCUACCUCUUGCUGGAAGAUUGGGAUGAGGGGAGAGCAGGCCUUGGCACCGACAGCUUGAGUUCUGCUAGAAACAGGCAGGCAGGCGUGGGCGUUCUGAGAGAAAUCCUCCCAGCCUGAUGUUGGUGCCGCCGUGCAGUCAGGACAGCCCUGCAUGCAGCAGGCGGCCACUUGCAGGCCCAGAAGGGCUUCCUGGGGUCCACCUGAGCAGCAGCCANNNNNNNNNNCCAUCCAUCUGCCCAUCCCUUCAUCCAUCUACCCAUCCACCUACCCAUCAUCCACUCAUCCACCCAUGCUCCCAUCUACCCACCCAUUCAUCCACUCAUCCACCCACCCUCAUCCAUUCAUCUGCCCAUUCAUUCAUCCAUCCACCCACCCAUCGAUCCAUCCACCCACCAUCCACUUACCCAUCGGCCUACCCACCCAUCAUCCACUCAUCCACCCAUCCACCCACCUACCCACCCAUUCAUCCACCCAUCCUCCCACCCUUAUCCAUCCAUCUGCCCAUCCAUUCAUCCAUCCACCCAUCCACCAACACAUCCAUCCACCUACUCAUCCACCCAUCCACCUACCCAGCCAUCAUCCACUCAUCCACCCAUCCCCCCACCUACCCACCCAUUCAUCCACCCAUCCACCCACCCACCCACCCUUUCAUCCACCCAUCCACCCACUCACCCUUCCAGCUGUGGCACCUUGGGCAGCUGUUCUGCUCUAUGCUUGCUGACAAGGACACGACCGCCCCCAGUCACCUCCAGCCAGGUCCUUCCUCCCACAUCCCUGCCCCUCCCUUGGCUUUUUGCUCUGUAGCUGGCAGCUUUGCCUACUGGGGCUUCAG